GGCCUUGUGGCCUAAUGGAUAAGGCGUCGGACUUCGGAUCCGAAGAUUGCAGGUUCGAGUCGGACUUCGGAUCCGAAGAUUGCAGGUUCGAGUCCUGCCAGGGUCG
rnacentral:tRNA from 1 species